UUUCUCCUCCUCCUUGGAGAUGGAGUGACACGGUGGUCCCUGAUUGGCUGGAGGCUGGUGAAGGUGUUCAGUGUGUAUAGAGAGGCUGUACUGUUGGUUUCACGUUAAACGUUUGGUGGAUUUCUGUUGUCUCCUGUUUUUAUCGUUUUAUGGAAAAGUUGACAAGUUGUCUCCAAGGCAGACUUGACACAAAGCCCAUAAAAGUGGAUGCUACUGAUUAUGGUGAAGUAUUGGGUCAUCUGUUAUCUUCGCUGUUUUCUCUCUAUUAAUUGUGGUUUAAGUUCACAGUUAAAAGGCACAUGACAGAAAGACCAGAAAAAGGGAUAAUGUUGGUAAAGUGAAGAAUUGUUAACAUUUCUUGAAAGUACGUGACUUCUUCCAUGUGUCCUGGUGUUCUACUGUUAAUUUGUAGGAAAGAUAUUCGGCGUAAGAGGGGGAAUCAAAGGAAAAUGUCUACAGCAAACAUUCAUGAAAUGUGAGCAUGUUUGGCGGAAGAAAAGGUACGAAGAAAAGGUACGAAGAAAGGACUACAACAAGACAUACGUGGAGAAGAGUCAAGUACUGAGAGCACAGAGAGAUAAAGAAAAGCCAAAUUUUGAAAGAGGGGGAAUGCGAAGGUUUUUUUCUAGCCAAGUUGAAAGGGGGCGACGAGAGAAUGUGUCAGCUGGAGUGAAAGGGGAAGUGUCAAGUAUUAACGAUUGGCCGAGAGAGAAAGAUGAAGUAGAAGUAAAGCUAAGUCAGUAAGAGGAAGGGGAAGUUGACAAGUUUAUUUCAGCAGUUUCUAUAAACUACAGUAGACAAAAACUAUAGUCUCAAAGAUGUAUGAAUGGAGUAGGAGUUUAAAAAUAGAUGAAUAGUAGUCGGAAACUAAUCAAAACCUACCUUUCCUAGGAGCGUUGUGUUCCACUUAACUAUGGAAUAUGUAUAUAACAAGUUUAUAAUUAUUCUGCUAUCUAUUUAUAGUAAAUUUUAUUACUGACCUGCAGGUAAAAUCUACCAGUAGGGUUGAAAAUUAAAAGUUUAACGAACCAAGAUUUCCUGAUUUGUGUAUGUAAUCAUUUUAUCGAAGAAGAAACUGCAAUAAUAUUUGAAGUCUAUUAAUAAUGAAAUUGAAUUUUUUAAUAAAAAUCAUGCUAUAAAUAAA